GCAGGGAAGGAGGUAGGGGACAUGUUACCUCUGUGUUCAAAUCGUAGAAGGGCUGUCAUAGAGAAGAAGGGUCAGCCUUUUAGUGCUUGACCUCCAGAGAGAGGGGCUGGCAUUGGCAGUGAAGAAGAGGCUGAUUUAGGCUGAAUGUAGGAGAAAGUUUUCAAUAAUGAAUAUUGUUCUCAAGUGGCCUGGGUUGUUUGGGGAGGUUGGAAAGGGGACCCCUUUUAAUGGAGGCCUUCAAGCAAGGGCUGGGAGAGAUGUUGUCAACAAUUUACGUUUUGGUGACGUAACUAUGACACCUACCUCCCCAUCCCCCAUGCUGCUCCCUUAUUGGUAGAAAGGCAUGUAAAGUUCUAGAAGGAAGAAGUAGGAAAGGGUGGGGUUAGGCUACACUUGGGAAGAUCCAGUAGGAGGCGAGUGCUUUUCUUGUUAGAUGGUCUUGUUGAGGCUAACACAGGUCUAGUGCAGGCUCUUCAGGGGGCUCGUGGAGGUGACCCAAUGGGUGAGUUGCUCCAUGUUACAAGUGUGGGGAGCUGUGAAGAGGAUGGCUGGGGUUGGCCCUGCGUCUAUAGUUCAAGUCCACCACCUCCUAGUGUUAGUGAUACAAGUGUAGAGGCCUCUGCCAGUGCUUCCAUCCCAGUGGGGCCCGUUGCUUCUGAGUCUGAACUGCCAGCUGAGGAUCCAGAAAUUCAAGGCAAAAAGAGCACCACUUCCAAGAGUGUGCGUGGCAGCCCUGCAGCCAGAUCCUCCAAAGGGAAAGGCCAUCACCAGGCAAAGCAGAAGAAAAGAGUGAAGACUGAGGAGAAAGAAGACUGGAAGGAGAAGCCCAAGAAGCAGAAGAGCCACCAAACUGCCAAGAAUGCCAAGGCCAACACGAAGGGGGCAGCAACAGCCACUGAGGGGGGCAGCACCUCCAAGGCUGCUUAGGAGGCACCCACCUGGAAGAGGAGGACACUGAAGACUGAGGCCUGGAGGACCUGCUGAGGUGGCUCCAGGAUGCUGGAGGUGCAAGCAGCUAUUGCUGAGGAGACACCAUGAAGGCCAAAAUGCUGUGCUGCCAGCUGGCCUCACAUCCUAGAGCCACCCUCACCAGACUCACUAUUGUCCUCAAUCUUGUUCUCUCCAGGCUCUGGCAAGUGGUCUGUUUCUCAUUAAAAAAGAAUUACAUUAAGACCACUGAAUUUUUCCGCAUUAUCUUAGAAAGUUUGCUCUGGCUUUGAAAAAAAAUUUUUUCAUUGUUCCUUGUGCAGUUUAUUUUUUUUUUAGAAGGGGC
rnacentral:lncRNA from 1 species